UUGAGCUUGAUCCCUGGCUCAGAGUGAACGCUGGCGGCAGGCCUAACACAUGCAAGUCGAACGGCAGCACAGCAGUAGCAAUACUGUGGGUGGCGAGUGGCGGACGGGUGAGGAAUGCAUCGGAAUCUGCCUAUUUGUGGGGGAUAACGUAGGGAAACUUACGCUAAUACCGCAUACGUCCUACGGGAGAAAGUGGGGGACCUUCGGGCCUCACGCAGAUAGAUGAGCCGAUGCCGGAUUAGCUAGUUGGCGGGGUAAAGGCCCACCAAGGCGACGAUCCGUAGCUGGUCUGAGAGGAUGAUCAGCCACACUGGAACUGAGACACGGUCCAGACUCCUACGGGAGGCAGCAGUGGGGAAUAUUGGACAAUGGGCGCAAGCCUGAUCCAGCCAUGCCGCGUGUGUGAAGAAGGCCUUCGGGUUGUAAAGCACUUUUGUCCGGAAAGAAAAGCUUCGGGUUAAUAACCCGGGGUUAUGACGGUACCGGAAGAAUAAGCACCGGCUAACU
rnacentral:rRNA from 1 species